CACAGGCCCCGCCCCAGACAAGGAGGGUCGAGUUCCCUGAGGAGGGCGGUGACCUCACGGUGUCGGAGGACGUCACGCACGAUGUAGCGCGGUCCAGUUGGAAUACCACCGCCUGCUCAGAGAACUUCUCCCAACGCUCUCUGACUCUCUCGGCUCUCUAACAUCGCUCUGACUGCCUCAGCUAGCGCAUAACAUCAGGAUGCAGACCGAGUUAGGCGUGAGGCAAGCUGGGCUCUGUUACAAAUAGUCAUGUAAACUGGUAAUCGUCAGUUCAUUUCUUUAGGCUUCAGGUAGUCAAUCUUUAAAGGAGCAAAUUGUAGAAAAUCAAUGUUCCUUAAAGUGUAGUAUGUAAUUCCAGAUGGCACAUAGGUGAACAGUAAUUAUUUUGAUAUACAUCCAUUUUGAUGCAUAUUAGAAAAAUAACAGAAUAUCAUAUCCAUGAUAUCAAGGAUAUCACUGUGAAAGCAUGGACAGAUUUAUUUAAAUAAAAAUGUAAAUAAUAGCAUAAGUGGUACAUGAAAAUUGCAAAAUUGUGAGGAUAUAUGCAAAUAAUUAAAGUCUGGGAAAAAGUAGAGUAGAGGGGGAAUGGAAACCACUACUAAUGGGCCUGGGGUUUCUUUGGGGGUAAUAAAGGUGUUUUGAAACUAA